rnacentral:lncRNA from 1 species
GUCUUUUCCAGUCCAUUCCACUGUCAGAAAUGUACUUCUAAGUAGUUCUGACCAACUAUAAUAUAGCAUUUUUCAAUGAGACUGUAAAGAACUGGUUGAAAACUCUGUUACAGAUCUCUCUUCUUUCCUUGUCCACCCCUACCAGUUCAAGAAGAAAAACAAAGGCAGUUAUAAUUGUCUAAGUAAUACUUUGUAUGGCAUUUUUUCUCUUGAAACCUCUAAAUCCUUCCACUGAGGUCAUGGAAAAAGUGUUUUAUAAAGAAAUUGAAAGUGUUUGAUUUAAUAUCCUUUAAAUGCAUUUUAGAAUGUUAUUUUGCCAUAUUAACUACUUUCUUAACAUUGCUUUGUGACAGUUCAUUGUGUUCUUAACAUCUAGUUAUAUAAUCUAAUACUUUUUUUGAAAAAAAUUCUGAAAAAUGAUAAACACAUCAUUUAGUUUGCACCAUUUAAAUGGUGUUGGUUGAAAUAAAUGUAAAUAUUACCUGUUUAUCCAUAGAAUUAGUUCUCUGACAUAUUGUGGACUAUAACACAACCUCUCAUUAGAUCACGAUACUAUUUUCAGAGUGAUUAUUCACAGAAUUACUCAUUGUAAUGCAAAAGCAUUACAACAAAACCGAGAAACUAGGAUUCAAACUAUUUUUCUAAAAUAGUCUUUAUAUCACUUUUUAAAAGCUUAUGUGUAUCAAAAUAUGUUCAUAAUUUAGGGAAAAUGAAGAAUACCAAAGUAUCUUCUUGUUUCCUGAAAGGAGGGCUGGAAUCACAAGACUGAUAACAAACACUGUUUCCCAAGAGACAGUUGGGUUGCUUUCACUUUCAAAAACAGAGGAAGAAGUGAGAGAAGGCUUUGCUGAGUAACUUGAUCAUUCUGAAGGUGGAAACCAACAUCCCGAGCUCCUUCUGCCUGUGCCCCAGGGCCAAGAUUCUCAGUUCAUCCUCUGCCUACCAACCAAGCCUAGGAGAAGUCCCUGUUCUGUCCCUUCAUCAUCCGACCCCUAUUCCCCAUGGGGUAAAGACUAGAGAAAUUCCUUGUAUUCCCUUGCCUUUAAUUUUGUUAUGCCCUAAAGCUGAGAACCAUUUGUUUGGUAAUUUACUGAUUCACAGACAGAAUUACCAGAGAAAUGUGUCCUGUUUUCUCUAUAAUGACUGAACAUGCAAUUAUAAUAAAUAUUUACUCUUACACCAAGGAAAUCUUUCUUGAAAAUAAGCUAUUUGCGUUUAUAAAUAUUAUGUAUUCUUU